GGUUCAAUGGUCUAGCGGUAUGAUUCUCGUCUUGGGUACGAGAGGUCUCGGGUUCGAAUCCCGAUUGAACCA
rnacentral:tRNA from 1 species